UUAACACCGGUUUUCGUACGAUCACCGAAGUUAAGCAACGUCGAGGCUGGCUAGUACCUAGAUGGGAGACCGCUUGAGAAUACUAGAUUCUGUA